ACGGGGUGCAGCAGGCGCGAAAACUUGUCAAUGCGGGAAACCGCGAACAGGGGAGUCCAAGUGCUUGCACUUUGUGUAAGCUGUUCGGUUGUCUAAAAAACAGCCGAAGGAAGGGCUGGGUAAGACAGGUGCCAGCCGCCGCGGUAAUACCUGCAGCCCGAGUGGUGAUCGAUUUUAUUGAGCCUAAAGCGUCCGUAGCCGGACUAGUAAACCCUUGGGUAAAUUGGGCAGCUUAACUGUCCAACUUCCGAGGGGACUGCUAGUCUUGGGACCGGGAGAGGUCAGAGGUACUCCAGGGGUAGGGGCUAAAUCCUGUAAUCCUUGGGGGACCACCAGUGGCGAAGGCGUCUGACUAGAACGGAUCCGACGGUAAGGGACGAAACCCUGGGGCGCGAACCGGAUUAGAUACCCGGGUAGUCCAGGGCGUAAACGCUGCAGGCUUGGUGUUGGGGACCCUACGAGGGUGCCCAGUGCCGGAGUGAAGAUGUUAAGCCUGCCGCUUGGGAGUACGUCCGCAAGG
rnacentral:rRNA from 1 species